rnacentral:rRNA from 1 species
UACAGAGGUCUCAAGCGUUGUUCGGAUUUACUGGGCGUAAAGGGCGCGUAGGCGGCACCGCAAGUCGACUGUGAAAUCUCCGGGCUUAACCCGGAAAGGUCAGCCGAUACUGCGGGGCUAGAGUGCAGAAGGGGCAACUGGAAUUCUCGGUGUAGCGGUGAAAUGCGUAGAUAUCGAGAGGAACACCUGCGGCGAAGGCGGGUUGCUGGGCUGACACUGACGCUGAUGCGCGAAAGCUAGGGGAGCGAACGGG